GACCCCGUUAACGGACGCCAGGUCUUCCACCUCCAGUGUGGACAUGGCAGUGGUGGCAUAAACAUAACUGAGGACUGAGUAACAGUGAAUGAAGAUUGCAAUGACUCGGAAAAGCCCAGCCACUGGACGCCUCCCCAGGCUCGAGUCGGCGCAGCCAGGGUCG